UUUGGGCAUGAUACGUGUGUAGUCCAGCCUGCAUUUUAGCAUACUUCCUCUCUUGCUGAGCUCAUCAAUGCCUGGUGAAGUUUUCAACCAGAUUAAGAAGUCCACCACUGACUGACAUGACAGAAAGAUGCUGUUUCUCCCUGUCCAAAAGAUUAGCAGACCCCCAACUGCCUCACCUGGUGUGGCUAGCUCCCUGAGGAGAGGAAACCAACAAACAGCAGCGGCUGAGGAAGAGGAUACAGGCCAAUAAGGUGGGAGGCCAGUCCAAUUCCAGCUCCACGCACAGCGUCCGAUUCUUCAAUCGCCCAACAAAGGUCUGCCAAGCGCAUGCCAAGUGCUGUACCAAGUAAAAGUUAAUUAUGCACCAUUUCAGCCCUCAAGCGUCAACUACCUGGAGAAAGAAAAGAUGAAUGGAGCAUAGCACCAGAACCGAAGAAGUACGGUGACAAACGGAAGCAGGACAUGGGGUGAGCAAACAGAAGCACAGGAGUAAAUGGACCACAGCCAUGCAAGUGUUAAAUGACUAACCCAGCAUUUGAGCACAGAUGCUCUCACUAAACCAAACUCAGUGCAUCUAAUCUCCACGCAAAAUCACCUCCAGGGACAAAAAGAGGAAAAAAAAAUGUUAAGUCACUAACAAAAGAAGAAAAUUGUUCUGAUCACAAAUGUCCCCUUUGCAAAUGAAAGGGUUCUGAGACCUGAAAGUCCAAAAAGCAAUUAUUAAUAUGCAGAAUGUGGAUGGAAAGAAGAGGCUAAUUUGCAACCAACUCAUCAGACUGGGGUGGUACAGUUCUGUAAUCACAGCACUGGGAGAGGGAGGGAAUGUGCAGGCAGGAGAAUUAAAAGGUUAAGGGCAGCUCUGGCUAUAUACCAAGUUUGAGGCUUGCACUACCCUGGAAUGCAUGAGAGCCUGUCUCUAUGAAGAUGGGAAAGAGAUUUGUAGGGAGAGGGGAAGAAUAGGGAUAGGCAGCUGAUGAGAGUGGGAGAGAGGUUACAGGAAUCAAAAUGCACAUGUAUAAGACUGUCAAAGAUAAAUUCAGUAAAAAAAAAUUUAAAACAAACAACAACAAUUAAUUUGUGAUCAAAGUGUAAAAGACAACGCUAUCACAGUCCUUCAGGGACCCAACCUGAGAGAUUUACUGGAAUCUGUAUGUUCACCAGCUGAUGGAUGAAGCAAAUUAAAAAUGUAAGGAUUACAAAAUCUAGACAAGGGAGUACCGCUAGUUAAUCCUAACUGGGUUACAAAGAGAAAGUUUAAAUAAUUGUUAUGGAUGGAUACAAGAUUGAACGUGGGCAUCAGAAUUGCAUUUACUACAGAUAAGUAACGCUGGGCUGAUAAGGGGAGAUUGAAGAGGAGCGCACUACAUUCAUUAUUUUAAAGUAAAACUUCAAAACCUAACAUUUAAUCCUUAAAAUAGAUUGACGAAUGUUUUGUGAAAUGUGCUAGGGACUACUAAAUGAGGAAUUGAGUAACUACCACGCCAACCUCGGGACAAAAGACUAAUGAAGACAUCUGUACUCUCACAGAAGGGGUAGGGAGAUGGUUUAGUGGGUGAGGCGUGAGGACCUGGGUUCAAUCCCUAGCACUACAUAAAAAUCGGGUGCAGAAAUGCAUAAUAUAACCCCUGUGAGUGGUAGAGGACACAGGUGGGCCUUGAGACCUCCUGGCCAACCAGCCUAUCUGAAACAGUGAGUUCAAGGCUUGGGGAGAUACUAAUCUCAAAUAUUAGGUGGAUGAGUGAGUGAGGGACAGUGCCUUAUAUUAUGUCCCGGCCUGCACAUGUGCACAAAUAGGCCAAACUUCCCAUCAUUAGACAGAGAUGCUUGGAUUGUUAAUAAACCGAUAGCAACAACAA